rnacentral:lncRNA from 12 species
GGGAAGCUGAGUCCAAGGUAUUUGUAGGGAAGCACUGCAGAGACCACCUGGGGGCAAGGGGCAGUAGAUACAGCCUUUAAUGAAAAGAUGAGGAACUCAUUGACUGAGGCAGAAACUCGGGCGUGUGCGAACAUACAUGAACAUACAUGUGAUAGGGAUGAUGGUGGUGGUCUUUUCUUUCAACAGCUUUCUGGGUUCCACAUGGCUACAUGCUAACAGAGACACGGCAAAGGGACCCAAGGUCUGGGUCUGAAUAACAACUUCCCUGAUUGAUUGCAGACUGAAGAUUCCUUGGCGCAGAGAAGAUUGGGGGAAGGAGACAAAAGGACACCGGAUGGUGCAGGCCACUCUGAGCAUUUGCCGGACAGGCUCGAACAGUGAAUAGUGAUUUAUCCAACAAGAGCCUUGAGGUUGCUUUUAAUUCCACAAAAGUGAUUCUAACUUUCGCACCGGUCAAGAUUUUAUCAUUAUAUCCAGUGAACUCUAAUGGGGAUACAGUGGUUUCUGAUGUGAAUCUCCAGUUCCUUCACAGUAAGGAACUGGGCCUAAAAGCAGGAUGAAAGGCUGCAAAGAACAUCAUGUCCUGCCCCUUCCCAGGUACAAGGAUAAAACCUCCUGUGCAUGAAUGAAAGCAAACGAAUUGGGGAAGGUGGGGGCACCUGAUGACUUCACCUGCCAUGACUCAGCACCGGAUCCAGCAGCCAAAACCCCUGGAUACUUUAUCAAAUGGAACUUCAACAACCUCUCUUUGCAACCAAGUCCAAGGUCCCCACACCUCCUCCCAUCAGAGCAAAGGAGGCAUCCAUCCAGGAAGCCUCGUGUCCAAGGCCCAGUGAGAAUGACAACGUUCCUCCCUCCUUUUUCAAGUUAACCUGAAAAUUUUAUCACAACUCUGUAUUUCAAGGACCUUGCCAGAAAAAAAAAUAUUUUUUUCUCUUGGUGUUCACUGAAAAUUUAACAAACAGUAGGAGGUGAUUUAGUGUGCCUGACAUGUGUAGAAAAUAAACUACUUUGCUAUUUUCA